UACAUGGGGUGCAAACGUUGCUCGGAAUUAUUGGGCGUAAAGCGCACGUAGGCGGUUUGUUAAGUCGGAUGUGAAAUCCCUCGGCUCAACUGAGGAAGUGCAUCCGAAACUGGCAGGCUUGAGUACUAAAGAGGGUCGCGGAAUUCCCGGUGUAGAGGUGAAAUUCGUAGAUAUCGGGAGGGAACACCGGUGGCGAAGGCGGCGACCUGGGUAGAUACUGACGCUGAGGUGCGAAAAGCGUGGGGAGCAAACAGG
rnacentral:rRNA from 1 species